CUAUCACAUGAGCCUGCGUAAGAUUAGCUAUUUGGUGGGGUAAAAGCUCAUCAAGGCGACAAUCUUUAGCUGGUCUGAGAGGAUGAUCAGCCACACUGGAACUGAGACACGGUCCAGACUCCUACGGGAGGCAGCAGUGGGGAAUAUUGGACAAUGGGCGCAAGCCUGAUUCAGCAAUACCGCGUGUGUGAACAAGGCCUAAGGGUUGUAAAGCACUUUCAUUUAGGAAGAAAAACUAAUGGUUAAUACCCAAUUAGUCUUGACGUUACUUUUAGAAAAAGCACCGGCUAACUCCGUGCCAGCAGCCGCGGUAAUACGGAAGGUGCAAGCGUUAAUCGGAAUUACUGGGCGUAAAGCGUGCGUAGGUGGUUUGUUAAGUCAGAUGUGAAAGCCCCGGGCUCAACCUGGGAACUGCAUUUGAAACUGGUAAACUAGAGUAUAGGAGAGGAAAGUGGAAUUUCUGGUGUAGCGGUGAAAUGCGUAGAUAUUAGAAGGAACAUCAAUGGCGAAGGCAGCUUUCUGGACUAAUACUGACACUGAGGUACGAAAGCGUGGGUAGCAAACAGGAUUAGAUACCCUGGUAGUCCACGCCGUAAACGAUGAUAACUAGUCGUUGAGGGGGAUUACCCUUUAGUGGCGAAGCUAACGCGUUAAGUUAUCCGCCUGGGGAGUACGGCCGCAAGGUUAAAACUCAAAGGAAUUGACGGGGACCCGCACAAGCGGUGGAGCAUGUGGUUU
rnacentral:rRNA from 1 species